UAGGGAAUCUUCGGCAAUGGGGGGAACCCUGACCGAGCAACGCCGCGUGAGUGAAGAAGGUUUUCGGAUCGUAAAGCUCUGUUGUUAAGGAAGAACGAGUGUGAGAAUGGAAAGUUCAUACUGUGACGGUACUUAACCAGAAAGGGACGGCUAACUACGUGCCAGCAGCCGCGGUAAUACGUAGGUCCCGAGCGUUGUCCGGAUUUAUUGGGCGUAAAGCGAGCGCAGGCGGUUAGAUAAGUCUGAAGUUAAAGGCAGUGGCUCAACCAUUGUAGGCUUUGGAAACUGUUUAACUUGAGUGCAGAAGGGGAGAGUGGAAUUCCAUGUGUAGCGGUGAAAUGCGUAGAUAUAUGGAGGAACACCGGUGGCGAAAGCGGCUCUCUGGUCUGUAACUGACGCUGAGGCUCGAAAGCGUGGGGAGCGAACAAG
rnacentral:rRNA from 1 species